rnacentral:lncRNA from 1 species
CAUGUGGCUGUCAACCAACAUUUGUCCCUUUUCCGACUUGAUGUCAAUAAUGCCUUCCUACAUGGUGACUUAGAUGAGGAAGUCUAUAUGAAAUUGCUUCCUGGUCUGGAAGUUGACUGUGCUACCUCUUCUUCUCCUUUGGUUUGUGUACUUCAGAAAUCUUUAUAUGGUUUAAGGCAAGCUUCUAGGCAAUGGUAUGCCAAGCUGUCCCAGGCCUUAUGUUCUAAGGGUUUUUCUUCUUCUCUCAAUGAUUAUUCUCAUUUCCUUAAAAAAUCUGGCUCUUCUAUUGUUCUGUUGGCUGUAUAUGUUGAUGACAUCAUUCUUACUGGUAAUAAUCUGGAGGAGAUCACUGCCUUGAAAUGUUUUCUGGAUAAUGAGUUUAAAAUCAAGAACUUGGGGGUGCUUAACUACUUUUUGGGUAUUGAGGUCAGUUAUCUUCCUACUGGGAUUCUUCUCCACCAAAAGAAGUUUAUCAUUGACCUACUCAAAUCUCAUCACUGUGAGGCCCUGUUACUUGCCCUCUUGACCUCUCUGUUAAACUCAAGCUUGAUAUGGGUGAUCCCCUUCCCUCUCCUGAAUCCUAUAGGUGUCUAGUGGAAAAACUCAAUUUUCUCACCCAUUUUCUGGAUAAUGAGUUUAAAAUCAAGGACUUGGGGUGCUUAACUACUUUUUGGGUAUUGAAGUCAGUUAUCUUCCUAAUGGGAUUCUUCUCCACCAAAAGAAGUUUAUCACUGACCUACUCAAAUCUUAUCACUGUGAGGAUGUCUCCCCUGUUACUUGCCCUCUUGACCUCUCUGUUAAACUCAAGCUUGAUAUGGGUGAUCCCCUUCCCUCUCCUGAAUCCUAUAGGUGUCUAGUGGAAAAACUCAAUUUUCUCACCCACACUAGGCCUGACUUGGCCUUUGCUGUACAUCAUUUGAGUCAGCAUCUUCAGAAACCUACAUCCUCUCACAUGCUUGCUGCUUUGCAUACCCUGAGAUACCUUAGAGGCACUUCUGAGAUUGGCAUUUUUCUCAGCAACU